rnacentral:rRNA from 1 species
UGUUGUUUUUCCGAAAAUCAAUUACGAAUGGCUUGAUUUUGUGUUGUAUUGACCUUAUCAGCUUUCUUCACUUUUUUCGAGUCUUUCUUAAUGCACUUUUCGGUUAACAAGUCAACAUCAAUUUCUUUUGUUGUAAAAGAGUAUUCGGAAGGUGGCUUUCUUUUCAGAGAAAGUGUUUAUAGCCCUAUACUUCUACAAUCGGAGAGAUUGAGGUCUGCAGCGUAGAUCCUUCGGGGUUAGAUACAUUUGUGCUAAGUUGUAGCUUUUCAUAGACAACUUGUUGACUAUGUUUAGUCAUGCGGCUUACUCGCUUAUGCUAUUUUACCUAC